CUCCUUUGACGUUAGCGGCGGACGGGUGAGUAACACGUGGGUAACCUACCUAUAAGACUGGGAUAACUUCGGGAAACCGGAGCUAAUACCGGAUAAUAUUUCGAACCGCAUGGUUCGAUAGUGAAAGAUGGUUUUGCUACCACUUAUAGAUGGACCCGCGCCGUAUUAGCUAGUUGGUAAGGUAACGGCUUACCAAGGCGACGAUACGUAGCCGACCUGAGAGGGUGAUCGGCCACACUGGAACUGAGACACGGUCCAGACUCCUACGGGAGGCAGCAGAC
rnacentral:rRNA from 1 species